UGUGAUUUUAUUUGUUUUUUGUUUUUUAACAUUGGAAAACAGAUGCAAAUUACAUUGCCUUUUUAUUAGAUGCUUUUGUCAGCAAAAGUAUCAUUAAGCAAGUGUUGCUUAAUGUUCCGGUUUUUGGCCCUGCAGUGUGUAACAGUUGGUCUUAUUUAAAUAAAACCACCCUCAUACCAAGUUUCUCCACCCAUGACUUGGCAUAAACCUUGGUGAAGAUCCACCAUUUUCCCUCGCAGGCGAGUGACUGACUACAUAGAAUUGCUAUUAUUUCGAAGUAAAAAGCUAAACAGACUCGCCACGUUGUUGGAUGCUUAGAUCGUCACACAUCAGUGCCUCCCAGCCAAAGAGGACUUCAGGAAAAAGUGGAUUCAUUUUAUUUACAAUGGAAACAUCCGGCCUUCUGUCAGCAAAAAUCUUGUCUGUGCCCACCACUUUGCGUUUGACUGCUUUGGCAACCUCGAUCAGUGUAAAGUUGUACUGGCGAUGAGACCGUUCAUAAAUGAUGGAUCAAUACCAACUGUCCGUGGCAAAGACACAGAUGAGGGAACUGUAAGUAUUUAAACAAAUGUUUCUCUACUUCAGACGUUUACCUUAGCUAAGACUGGACAUAAGGAUUCAUUUGUCAACGGUACAAUAUUAUUUACAAACCUGUUAAUGCAAGUACAGUAGUUUGUAAUGUGUGAGUGUAAUUUCAUCAAUCUUGUGGUACUUUAUAUAAUUAAAUUGAGUAAAUAGGUUUAAUGUUAUAUAGACUCAAUGGAGGAGAGUUCAGUUUAAUGGAACACAUGAUUUGUAUAACCUAACAAUACGUAGGACAAAUCUCAUCUUUUGUGGGUUAAAAAAAAUGUAGCUAUAUUUUUGUUAUUGAAUUUGUAGGUAGGAUGACGUGAUUCCUACUAUCUGAUAAUCAUAGGGUCGAUAUUUAUUGUGCAUACCUAAUACUAGUCAUUUUUGGUUGACAAGAUUGGAACAAAUCAAUAAAAUGCUUUGUGUGACAGAGUUCUGGAGACUGAUAAUUAGAGCCAUAUUGACAUGGAAAAACGAUUCAAAAAUAGUUACUGUCAUUGUGUAGACUACCAAGUCUGCACUGGCGGCUGUGGUACAUCAUGUGGCCUGCUAGAGGGACGGUCACACGCAGAGUUGGCACGCAGCUGUCUAUGCAAACACUCCAACGGAACUUCAAAAGUACAGGGGGUAGACAUCAUGGUGAAAACACUUGGAAACGAUAGCUUCGAGACUUUCUCUCCCCUCCCUCCGCCUCUGUCCCCGGGCCAGCCAGGAGACGCUUUUGGGAAUGAUGAGGAAGCUGCCGAGCUGUCCAAGCUUGCUGAGGUUCCUGCGGCCAAAAGGAGAGUAGUUAGGAGACCACAGCCCAAGCUGGACUCCCAGAGGCUGAUAUCUGAAAAAGGACUUCCAGCUCUGCGAACACUUUUUGACAAUGUCCAUUUUAAAGGAAAAGGCCAUGAGGCGGAGGAUGUGCGACUGCUGAUGCAGAAGAUGGAGAACUGGGCUCACAGGUUGUACCCCAAACUUCAGUUUGAAGAUUUCAUGGACAGAGUGGAGAAGCUGGGCGCCAAGAAGGAGGUGCAGACAUGUCUCAAAAGGAUACGGUUGGACAUGCCACUGACACACGAAGAUUUUACCGGUGAAGAUGAUGCUCCUCUUGAACACGACAUCUUGGAAGAUUCCGAUCCAUUUAGCAGUCAGAGGUUCCCCAGCGAUCCGCAGGGGCCAAUCCACUCUACCCCAGCGCCUGCUGGUCCGCCUGCCCCCUCUCUCACAGAAGAUCAGCGCCAACGCAUGGAGCUAAACAGACAGCGGGCCCUGGAGAGGAAGAUGGCUCGCCAGCAGCAGCUAAUGGACUCUCAACCACUUGACUCAUCAUUGCAAGCAGACGAGCCCUCGGUGAACACCGCAGAACAUGCUGUCAACUAUUCCCAAGGACAAGAUUGUAAGGAGGAUGAGCCAGGCAGAAGCAGCCCCCCUCAGCUGUCAAUCAAGGCCUCAGAGUCAUUCUCUUUGUGCAAGAACAUUGUGACAGAGCCCACCCCUCCAGCCAGCAACAGUAGUGAGGAUGCAGAUAAAUGCUGAAUAAUGCUCAGUACUUUACUCAAUUUAGCAUAUAUGUAUAUAUCUAUAUAUAUAGAUAGAUAGAUAUAGAUUUUUUGUAUAACACUCAUGACACUUUCAAUCUAUGCAGACAGACCAUACAUGUUGUAAUUAAAAGUGAUGUUUCAUUAUGUAAAUCUGUUGUAAUUACUUUAAAGAUAACAAUAAAAGCAAAUAUCCAGUUUCUAUAUUCAGAAGAGUGUAACUGAAUGAAAUUAAUAAAUUAGUUGAAGCAAUAUUGCACAUAGUGCCACUGGUUAGCAAUUUCAAAUGACCAACUUCAAGUUUGUUUAGCUCUGAUCUCAACCAGUGUGUUGUAGGAGCUCUUAAAGAGAGCCACAGGAAAUGAUCACUAAACUGUUAAAAAAAAAAAAAAAGUACAACAAAUAAUGCAUCUUUGCCUAUCCAGCUAUGCCAGCGACUUAGAGACAAAAAGAAUAAACAAUCUAUUGGAUGUUAGAAAGUAUAUAAUUGACAUGUGUACACACUUUUUGUGACUUUUUUAUUUGGUAGUGUCAUGAGAUUUUUCACACUUAAAAUAUGUGCCUUGGUUCAUUUAGGGUGAGAAUCCCUUAGCUAAUAGCUGAGUAGCAAGCAUUAUGCUGCAUACUACUUGUACCCUAAAGAAAAUUACCUAAUUGACAUAUUUGAGCUGAGGUUAGGUGUACAAUACUUGUUUCCACACUAAAAUAACACACAUUAAGUAGUAAAUAUUUUCAUUAUUGUACAUUCUCUUACCUUAUUAAUAAAAACACUUCAAUGGUUAAUUUAUCUGUAUAUAAUACAUAUUGUACUACGAAACCUGGUCAAUGUAUCACAUAUGUAUAGGGUGACCACAUUUGUAUUUUCCAAAAAAAGAGGACACUUGGCCUGGCCUCGAGAUGACAUACAUUCUUCUCCAUCAUGUGGUCAACUUACAACUAAGGAACUCAGUCAAUGUUGCAGAUUAACUUUGCAGAUUUUUUGGUGUUUGGUCACUGACAUGUACAUACUAUACCUAAAAGUAGAGAUAUAUUUAAAA